rnacentral:rRNA from 1 species
GACAGAGGAUGCAAGCGUUAUCCGGAAUGAUUGGCGUAAGCGUCUGUAGGUGGCUUUUAAGUCCGCCGUCAAAUCCCAGGCUCAACCCUGGACAGGCGGUGGAAACUACCAAGCUGGAGUACGGUAGGGCAGAGGGAAUUCCGGUGGAGCGGUGAAAUGCGUAGAGAUCGGAAAGAACACCAACGGCGAAAGCACUCUGCUGGCCGACACUGACACUGAGAGACGAAAGCUAGGGAGCGAAUGGG